rnacentral:lncRNA from 1 species
GGGGACAUGCUCAUUUAUUAUUUGAAAGUUGGAAGUUUGUAUAAUCCAUUUGAGUAUGUGCGCAUUUAAAAAAAUAUGAAACAGUACGUGUAAACUUAGAUUUUAUCAAGAUUAGUAGAAGACCCAUCUUCAGCUGGAAGUCUAUCGAGCUAUUUUGAGUCCUAAACUUAGUUGCUAAUACUUGUAUAACCUAACCAAAGAGUUACCUAGUAGAGUUUUUAGUGAUUUGAACAUUUAUUUUUCUUGUUGAUUCUAUUUCCUCACUUAUAGCCUAUUUACUUAAGCAAAAUAAGUUUGAUUUUUAAUUACUUAGACUUCAGAUCUCUUUAUUAUUAUUAUUAUUAUUGUUAGCAGUAGUGUUUUUAAAUUGAUGUUUUCUGCAAGGCCAGCAAGUGUGGGCUGCUGGGCUGUUCUGAAAACCGGAACAAUGCUCUUUCUUUCCUGCGUUUGUUUGACGUUGCAGUGACAGAUUCGAAAGAUCAACGGAAGCACGGGGGGGGGGGGCUGCCCAUCUGUAGAUAGCUGUCAAGUGGAAUGUUUCUAAAUGAAGGCAAAUAAGUACUUCAGUGUGAGCCGAGCAAUAACGCGGUAUUUAGGUGAAUGCAACAGAAACAGGGGACCUUUGCCUUAUUGCCUUUCCUCUCACGUGGAAUGAAUUCCCAGUGUGUAUCCUGUGUACACCACAGCAGAGAGGAGGUAUGCCCGUAUGCUUCCACACCACAGCAGAGAGGAGGUAUGCCCGUAUGCUUCCCUCUGAGAGACGUCCUUUGGAUAAUCUGUGAUUACAGAGAAGCCUUUGUGUAUGUGUGUGUGUUUGUUUUAUCAUCUUACUCUGAAAUAUGUUUUUAAGGAUUUUUGUAAGAGCCAUUUGAAGUGUUUAAAUUAGAGCUAUUUUUUCCUUGUUUUUAAAAAACGAACCUUGUACCGUGUAUCUCAUCAUAUCCGAGGCAGAUGUUAUGAAUUGGGACAGUUUUAUUCUCAGACUCCUGUGAUCAAAUCUGUACAUACCAUAUACAAACAUUUUACACGAAUCAUUUAGUUUUUUAAUUCAUCUACUGAUGCUAUAAAAUUUCCUAUAUUUACCCCUGGUAACUUGCAUUUGAUGGUGUAUAUACAAAAGCAACGCAUUUUGGUGAGCUUCUCAUAUCCUUGCCUGUGAACUUGGGUCAGGAAAACAGUCACAACUACAAGGCUGGGUUUGCUCCAUACUUUUUUGCUGGGAUGUUAGUUGUAUAGUAAUCAUGUGUCAGCUACCUGUAUUCAAGCUAUCCAUAUUUUUAAUCCAAUGAUGUCUUCAUUUUAAUUGGGAGAUUUUUUUUUCCUUUAGAGAAGAGUUAGCUUCAUGUACAAAGUGUGUGAUUUUAAAGAAAGGGCAGCAGGGGUCCAGGAAGCUGUGCUUACUCCAGCUUUGGGCUUGUUUUUAGGCGGUGGAUCAGGUAAUGGCUCAGAACCUUUGUUUCAAGCCUGAAAUGACUUAGGACUGUCAAUCACUGGCCAAGUGUGAGUCUCAGACUUCUCCCAUGCCACGGAACAGUGCUAGAUUGCUUAAGAAAGAAAUGUAUGAAUAAAAACCAUCUUUAGGACAGCUCAAAAUACACUGAGAGAUGACAAAACGGAAGUUCUAGCUUCCUUGUCAAGUCUGCAUAACACUAGAAGCCAUGGGAAACUGCUGAAGUUUUGUCUGCAUUGUUUAUGAAUUGAAGCUUGGAAAAUUAUUCAGUUUGUCUCACUAACACACAGACAUUUCUGUACCUUCCACCAUACUGGCUGGCCUGUUAAAGAUUGGGCCAUUAGUAUAAGGGACAGUACAUGGACCUCUUCCUGGGAGUGACUGUGCCCUCUGCUGUUAGGGGCAAUGCAUAAAAACUUAGUGCUUUUCAGCCCAAGUUAAGUCUGAGCAGUCAUCUCAUUAUAUGAUAGGUAAGUAUGACUGAGCCAGGCUGAUGUCGUUGGGUCCUUUCCUCUCCAUGCACUUUGGGUUGUAGAAGAAACCCUUAGGGCUUAUAAAAUGUUCUGAAAUCUCGGUCAGCACCUGUGAAUUUGAUGACUGUACCAAACAGUGGAGCCUCUCUCAUCAGUAUCUUUGAAAUGACCCAGAAGAAUAUUAUAAACUACUCAGAUAUUCACGGCUGCAUUAAUCUAUCUCAGAGAGGCAAUCAUUUGCAUAUGUUGAUCAAAUUACCAUUUGAUGCUCAUAAAUAAUGGAAUGACAUUAGGUUUAAUAAGUAAUUUUUUUAAAAAGUGUUGACAGUCUCUGUGGUUGUAAAAAAACAAAACAAAACAGGUCCCAGGUUCCAUGCUUGUCUAUCAGAUGUUUGAUAUGUCUGUUUUUAUUUUAAUACGUGUGGAUUACAAACCACAUUCGUUCUAGAUUUUCAAACAUGUAAUGGAAAAUAUACCUUGCAGGUGUGAGAAAUUUCCCCUUUAAUACUGUUUUUAUUCUAGUGUGUCUUAUUUGUUUUUGUUCAGUUGCUAGCAAAAUGAUAAUUUUAGCCCCAAUUGUCUUCUUUUUCAAAGCAGAAUCAUAUGUGUGUAUACCUGCUGCUUCUCCGGGGAGAUGUAUGAUGUGCCAAUACCCAGAGACAACUGGCAGUGCUUACAACGUGGUCUAAUUUCUAUGGCCGUUUCCAUGGAAUGCAGUUAUUACGUUAAAGCCAUGUAUUACGAAGCUUUGAUAAAUUUUUAACUCUUCAUAUUAUGAUAAAUUCCAAUCUAGCAUUCAAAUAAUUUUUGUACUCCUAUAUGUAAAAUGAGCUAUACAAAUAUUUAGAAAAAUAUUGAGUGAAGGAAGUGAAUUCCUUAAGAAUUUCUUUUACAGUCUAAAAUUACAAGUACCAUAAAACUGACAUGUUUUAAAAAUAGUAAAUUUGGUAUUUUUAUUGUAAAACUCUUAGUUACGUCUUUGCUUAAAAUUUUAUUGUGUUUCCUCUCACUACAAAUCUUUUAAAAUCUGAAUAUUUUGGAUAAUGUAAGUCUCUCUCUCUCUCUCUCUCUCUCUCUCUCUCUCUCUCUCUCUCUCUCAAGUAGUGAAUAAAACACAGUGUUCUCUGUGUCCACAGUACUUGGAAGAAGUUUUCACAUACCUGGAAGUAGGUUAUGUUAUAGCUAACUUUUCUUGGUGACAGUUUUGGAUAGUACACAUCUCAAAAUAUUAAUACUGGAGGAUUUAGAUUCUUUACAAGGCCCAUUAAACAAAGAUGGAAGAAUCCUAUUAGAAGACCUCCACUGGAGUCAGCUGUUGGAUGGUAGGAGGGUUGACCAGUUGACCAAGAAUGCUUGCCACUUUAUUUUAUAAUAUUUUUCCAAGCCAGUUUUGUUUGUUUAAAAUGUGUUUCAAGGUGUGCAGACAUCAAUUUUAAUGUAAACUGCUAUACAACUGUCUUUGUGACUUGAUAGCCAUGUAAACUUUGCUAUAACUAUUGAAUACAAACGAUAUAUACUCAUUCAUUACCACUGAUCAUAUCCGUUGGAUGAUGAAGGAUUGAAACAUUCAUCAUGGUUAUACACUUUGAACAUGUAAAUUAAAUUUUCUGGGUAUUUGAAAAAAAUGCUGUUUGUAAUACUUAUUUGGGUUCUGACAUGUUGAAAUUGUUAUUUGCUAAGCGAUACCUUUGAGCUGUUUCUUUAAAAUCUAAGGGGACAUGGAAAAUAUAAUAAUAUCACACUUUUCUAAUGAAACAUAAAUCCAAGAAUAAAAGCUCUUCUAUAUCCAAAGGG